ACAAAAACAAACCGAAAAGGUGGCUGGGAGUCGUAGUCCAGGCUGCCUGUCUGGCCUCUCCCGCUCCGGAAGAAUAUGGCUGCUUGCAACCUUCGGACCACACUUCCCGGCGAUCCCAGCGGCCCGUCUUUUCCGCCCUCCCCUCCUUUCCUCCGCCCCGCGCAGAGCUCGGUGAGGAAGGGGGAAAGACAGUCUUUCGGGGAAGGGGCUGGGUGGAGUCUCGCGAGGUGCGGGAACUGGAUGGGGGCCUGAAGCAUUAUGGGAGGUAAUGCUGGGAAGGGGCGGUGGCUGGAUCCCCACCACACCACCUCCACCGUGCUAGGUUUAACCCCUUCUGCGCUUCUCUCUUGCGGGCCGUCGCGCUGUUAAGGGUGGGGAUUGACAACUGGUAGCUCAACCCCCACCCCCCACUUAGUGCCUUUCUCCGCCUAAGCGAUUCUCACGGACACUUCUUGUAGGUGACAAGUGACAGGACUUUCCCUUUUGGUCCUCCGCUAAAUGACUCACUGCCGCAUAAUAAUGAGACAAAAAGAAACUCAUACCAGUAAAACGGUUAUUUCAUGAUUGAGGGACCUAGACAGUUUCCCAUUUCCUCCUGUGCUUUCAUGCCGCUUUGUGUUUGCAGAAGCUGUAUUUGCAGAAGCUGCACCCCAGCCCACAGUGUUCUUACCACCUAGUGAACUUGGUGAUAUGGGUGGUGUAAAGAACUUGGACUUAGGGGCCAUACUUUCCAGAAUGCACCUGAGGCCUUUUUUGAGGCAGUACCCUGGAGAGAACACAGAACCUGGGGUCAAACGGACCUAGACCAGCCAGUCCAGGUUAUCAGCGUAAUACCUAACAGCAUUAUUGAGAUUAAAAUCAACAUAAAACACCUGGCAUGUUGGAAGAGGGUGUGAAUGGGUAUAUAUAAUUUGGCUCCUGGCAUAGAGCUAGUGUUUAAUAGGUACCGGGCUGAGAGGCAAUGGGCAAUGUAUUUACCCUCUCUGAGCCUUGGUUGCAGAGCACGAAAUGAAAUGAGAUUCAGAGUACCCAACACAUAGGUUUUCUGUGCCUGGUUGUUGAAUCAGCCAAUAUCCAGAAACAUUCCUAGAAUCAGCCUUAAAUUGGAUAAUGGCCAGUUCUUUAAAAUUAGGGAGGAAGGGUCAGUGGCCAUAUUUGAAAGUUUUUCCCUCUGAGGAAGCACACUCUUCACUCCCUGAGGUCAGCACACGGGAGAGCCAAUGCUUAGGGAAGACCAACACCAUGCUGCCCAAGCCUAACAAGGAGUUCAGUGCUCCUGCUUGCUUGCUUGCUUUUUAUGGAAGUUCCCAGGCUAGGGGUCAAAUGGGAGUUGUAGCUGCCAGCCUACACCACAGCCACAGCAAUUUGGGAUCCAAGCCAAGUCUGCAGUCUAUACCACAGCUCACAUCAAUGCUGGAUCCUUAACCCACUGAGCGAGGCACGGGAUCAAACCCACAUCCUCACGGAUACUAGUCAAAUUCGUUAUCGCUGAGCCCCAACAGGAACUCCAACGGUGAAAUAAGGUGCUUUAAAAUCUUCUGUCCCCUUCUAACUUCACUCCAACAGAGGGAAAGGAAGAAUCCCACCUCCACAACCCAAAAA
rnacentral:lncRNA from 1 species